rnacentral:rRNA from 1 species
GACAGCAGUCGCCGCGGGAAUACGAAGGGGGCUAGCGUUGUUCGGAUUUACUGGGCGUAAAGCGCACGUAGGCGGAUCGAUCAGUCAGGGGUGAAAUCCCAGAGCUCAACUCUGGAACUGCCUUUGAUACUGUCGAUCUGGAGUAUGGAAGAGGUGAGUGGAAUUCCGAGUGUAGAGGUGAAAUUCGUAGAUAUUCGGAGGAACACCAGUGGCGAAGGCGGCUCACUGGUCCAUUACUGACGCUGAGGUGCGAAAGCGUGGGGAGCAAACAGGAUUAGAUACCCCGGUAGUCCCUGUCUCUUAUAC